rnacentral:rRNA from 1 species
CGCUGGCGGCAUGCCUUACACAUGCAAGUCGAACGGUAACAGGUCUUCGGACGCUGACGAGUGGCGAACGGGUGAGUAAUACAUCGGAACGUGCCCAGUCGUGGGGGAUAACUACUCGAAAGAGUAGCUAAUACCGCAUACGAUCUGAGGAUGAAAGCGGGGGACCUUCGGGCCUCGCGCGAUUGGAGCGGCCGAUGGCAGAUUAGGUAGUUGGUGGGAUAAAAGCUUACCAAGCCGACGAUCUGUAGCUGGUCUGAGAGGACGACCAGCCACACUGGGACUGAGACACGGCCCAGACUCCUACGGGAGGCAGCAGUGGGGAAUUUUGGACAAUGGGCGAAAGCCUGAUCCAGCAAUGCCGCGUGCAGGAUGAAGGCCUUCGGGUUGUAAACUGCUUUUGUACGGAACGAAAAAGCUUCUCCUAAUACGAGAGGCCCAUGACGGUACCGUAAGAAUAAGCACCGGCUAACUACGUGCCAGCAGCCGCGGUAAUACGUAGGGUGCGAGCGUUAAUCGGAAUUACUGGGCGUAAAGCGUGCGCAGGCGGUUAUGUAAGACAGAUGUGAAAUCCCCGGGCUCAACCUGGGAACUGCAUUUGUGACUGCAUGGCUAGAGUACGGUAGAGGGGGAUGGAAUUCCGCGUGUAGCAGUGAAAUGCGUAGAUAUGCGGAGGAACACCGAUGGCGAAGG